GUGCAGGGGCGGCAGCUACACAUGCAGUCGAGCGGUAACAGAUCCAGCUUGCUGGAUGCUGACGAGCGGCGGACGGGUGAGUAAUGCAUAGGAAUCUGCCCGAUAGUGGGGGAUAACCUGGGGAAACCCAGGCUAAUACCGCAUACGUCCUACGGGAGAAAGGGGGCUUCGGCUCCCGCUAUCGGAUGAGCCUAUGUCGGAUUAGCUAGUUGGUGAGGUAACGGCUCACCAAGGCCACGAUCCGUAGCUGGUCUGAGAGGAUGAUCAGCCACAUCGGGACUGAGACACGGCCCGAACUCCUACGGGAGGCAGCAGUGGGGAAUAUUGGACAAUGGGGGGAACCCUGAUCCAGCCAUGCCGCGUGUGUGAAGAAGGCCCUCGGGUUGUAAAGCACUUUCAGCGAGGAAGAACGCCUAGCGGUUAAUACCCGCUAGGAAAGACAUCACUCGCAGAAGAAGCACCGGCUAACUCCGUGCCAGCAGCCGCGGUAAUACGGAGGGUGCAAGCGUUAAUCGGAAUUACUGGGCGUAAAGCGCGCGUAGGUGGCUUGAUAAGCCGGUUGUGAAAGCCCCGGGCUCAACCUGGGAACGGCAUCCGGAACUGUCAAGCUAGAGUGCAGGAGAGGAAGGUAGAAUUCCCGGUGUAGCGGUGAAAUGCGUAGAGAUCGGGAGGAAUACCAGUGGCGAAGGCGGCCUUCUGGACUGACACUGACACUGAGGUGCGAAAGCGUGGGUAGCAAACAGGAUUAGAUACCU
rnacentral:rRNA from 1 species